UACGAAGGGGCUAGCGUUGCUCGGAAUCACUGGGCGUAAAGGGUGCGUAGGCGGGUCUUUAAGUCAGGGUGAAUCCUGGAGCUCAACUCCAGAACUGCCUUCGAUACUGGAAGCUCGAGUCCGGGAGAGGUGAGUGGAACUGCGAGUGUAGAGGUGAAAUUCGUAGAUAUUCGCAAGAACACCAGUGGCGAAGGCGGCUCACUGGCCCGGUACUGACGCUGAGGUGCGAAAGCGUGGGGAGCAAACAGG
rnacentral:rRNA from 1 species